CCUACGGGGAGCAGCAGUGAGGAAUAUUGGUCAAUGGACGGAAGUCUGAACCAGCCAUGCCGCGUGCAGGAAGACGGCUCUAUGAGUUGUAAACUGCUUUUGUACAAGGGUAAACCUGAAUACGUGUAUUCAGCUGAAAGUACUGUACGAAUAAGGAUCGGCUAACUCCGUGCCAGCAGCCGCGGUAAUACGGAGGAUCCAAGCGUUAUCCGGAUUUAUUGGGUUUAAAGGGUGCGUAGGCGGAUUGAUAAGUUAGAGGUGAAAUGUCCGAGCUUAACUCGGGAACUGCCUCUAAUACUUUUGAUCUAGAGAGUAGAUGCGGAAGGCGAAUUGUAUGGUGUAGCGGUGAAAGGCUUAGAGAUAAUACAGAACACGGAUUGCGAAGGCAGCUUACCAAGCUAUAUCUGACGUUGAGGCACGAAAGCGUGGGGAGCAAACAGGAUUAGAUACCCUUGUAGUC
rnacentral:rRNA from 1 species